rnacentral:rRNA from 1 species
AUUGAACGCUGGCGGCAGGCUUAACACAUGCAAGUCGAGCGGGGAGAUGUAGCUUGCUACAUUUCCUAGCGGCGGACGGGUGAGUAAUGCUUAGGAAUCUGCCUAUUAGUGGGAGACAACAUUCCGAAAGGAAUGCUAAUACCGCAUACGCCCUACGGGGGAAAGCAGGGGAUCUUCGGACCUUGCGCUAAUAGAUGAGCCUAAGUCAGAUUAGCUAGUUGGUGGGGUAAAGGCCUACCAAGGCGACGAUCUGUAGCGGGUCUGAGAGGAUGAUCCGCCACACUGGGACUGAGACACGGCCCAGACUCCUACGGGAGGCAGCAGUGGGGAAUAUUGGACAAUGGGCGCAAGCCUGAUCCAGCCAUGCCGCGUGUGUGAAGAAGGCCUUUUGGUUGUAAAGCACUUUAAGCGAGGAGGAGGCUACUUGGAUUAAUACUCUAGGAUAGUGGACGUUACUCGCAGAAUAAGCACCGGCUAACUCUGUGCCAGCAGCCGCGGUAA